GCUUCGGUAACUGACCUAGCGGCGGACGGGUGAGUAAUACUUAGGAAUCUGCCUAUUAAUGGGGGACAACAUCUCGAAAGGGAUGCUAAUACCGCAUACGCCCUACGGGGGAAAGCAGGGGAUCACUUGUGACCUUGCGUUAAUAGAUGAGCCUAAGUCGGAUUAGCUAGUUGGUGGGGUAAAGGCCUACCAAGGCGACGAUCUGUAGCGGGUCUGAGAGGAUGAUCCGCCACACUGGGACUGAGACACGGCCCAGACUCCUACGGGAGGCAGCAGUGGGGAAUAUUGGACAAUGGGGGGAACCCUGAUCCAGCCAUGCCGCGUGUGUGAAGAAGGCCUUAUGGUUGUAAAGCACUUUAAGCGAGGAGGAGGCUCUCUUGGUUAAUACCCAAGAUGAGUGGACGUUACUCGCAGAAUAAGCACCGGCUAACUCUGUGCCAGCAGCCGCGGUAAUACAGAGGGUGCGAGCGUUAAUCGGAUUUACUGGGCGUAAAGCGUGCGUAGGCGGCUUUUUAAGUCGGAUGUGAAAUCCCCGAGCUUAACUUGGGAAUUGCAUUCGAUACUGGGAAGCUAGAGUAUGGGAGAGGAUGGUAGAAUUCCAGGUGUAGCGGUGAAAUGCGUAGAGAUCUGGAGGAAUACCGAUGGCGAAGGCAGCCAUCUGGCCUAAUACUGACGCUGAGGUACGAAAGCAUGGGGAGCAAACAGGAUUAGAUACCCUGGUAGUCCAUGCCGUAAACGAUGUCUACUAGCCGUUGGGGCCUUUGAGGCUUUAGUGGCGCAGCUAACGCGAUAAGUAGACCGCCUGGGGAGUACGGUCGCAAGACUAAAACUCAAAUGAAUUGACGGGGGCCCGCACAAGCGGUGGAGCAUGUGGUUUAAUUCGAUGCAACGCGAAGAACCUUACCUGGUCUUGACAUAGUAAGAACUUUCCAGAGAUGGAUUGGUGCCUUCGGGAACUUACAUACAGGUGCUGCAUGGCUGUCGUCAGCUCGUGUUGUGAGAUGUCGGGUUAAGUCCCGCAACGAGCGCAACCCUUUUCCUUAUUUGCCAGCACUUCGGGUGGGAACUUUAAGGAUACUGCCAGUGACAAACUGGAGGAAGGCGGGGACGACGUCAAGUCAUCAUGGCCCCUACGACCAGGGCUACACACGUGCUACAAUGGUCGGUACAAAGGGUUGCUACCUAGCGAUAGGAUGCUAAUCUCAAAAAGCCGAUCGUAGUCCGGAUUGGAGUCUGCAACUCGACUCCAUGAAGUC
rnacentral:rRNA from 1 species